CAGGAGCUCCACAACCCCCUCCCUCCCUCCUUCCAUCCCAUCCGAGGAGCUGCUGUCCCACCCAGCCCCAGCCCAGUUCAGGCCUUAAACCAGGCCUUAAACCAGGAGUUAAAUCAGGCCUUAAACCAGGAGUGAAACCUGGAGUUAAACCAGGAGUGAAAGCAGGAGCUAAAUCAGGCCUUAAGCCUGGACUUAAACCAGGAGUUAAAUCAGGCCUUAAACCUGGAGUUAAAGCAGGCCUUAAGCCAGGAAUUAAAGCAGGCCUUAAACCAGGAGUUAAAUCAGCCUUAAACCUGGAGUUAAAGCAGGCCUUAAGCCAGGAGUUAAAGCAGGCCUUAAACGUGGAAUUAAAGCAGGCCUUAAACCAGGAGCUAAAUUAGGCCUUAAACCAGGAGUUAAACCAGGAGCUACAUCAGGCCUUAAACCAGGAGUUAAGCAGGGCUUCAGUCAGGCCUAGCCCUGGGCUCUGGCUCAGCCAGGCUCAGGACCUGCAGUGUGAACAGGGACAGGGAUCUGCAGCACCAGGCCAGUUCUAACUCACAAAGGUGUUUGUUUCUAACCCCUGGGAUUAAUUAGUGCUCAAUUAACAGCGUUUGCUGGUGGCUGGAGCCCGGCAGGGCCGCUGGGACCAGCGCUGGGUGUUGGGGUCAGGGCAGGGAGGAGUGCUUUGCAAUUCCUGUGGAUAUAAAAAUGUGCAAUAAAUUAAUUUUCAAGCCUC